rnacentral:lncRNA from 1 species
CGAAAGACUUUCGUGAAGUAGCUAUUAAUUUUAUAGAUCCGCUUACUUCUAUUUAAUAUAACAAUGAAAACAAAAGUAGUAUGCAAUACAGACGAUCUGUCUAUGUAUAAAUUAAUUUAAGGGAACAAUAUUUCACCAAUGUUCAAACCUCGUAAGUCGAUUUGUCACACACACUGGUAGAAUCGCGUGAACUCCAUGAACGCACGAGCUAGACCAAGAACGUAGACGUGGUUAUCUUCUCCUUCUUUGCAUUCAUGCACAUGUUUUACCUAUAAAACAACCAAAACGAAAACAAAUCAAAGCCAUAUAAACUGUAUGCCACAUUCCGAACAACAUAAUUAAAUUGAGAUAGAAAUAGGGAAUGUGUCAAAUAGACAACAAUCCGACCAAAUCAGAAAUAAAGGCAACAGUAGUAUACCGCUGUUCGAAAAACAGACCAUUUUUAUAGUUCAAGACUAGAUUCAUCUUAAAAGCAAAAUCGUGUUGAAUAAGAGAGAAACCUUUACAAUGUUUAUUACUCAUAUAUAUAUUGAUAUGUUCAUAAUUAUAAAUUAACUGUUAACAAAACUUUGAAUUUUUGAAAAACUAAGGCUUUUCUACCACAGGAAUAGAUUACCUUAGCUGUUUUUGGCAAAACUUUUAGGAAUAUUUGACCUUAAUGCUCUUCAUCUUCGUACUUUAUUUGGCCUUUUAUAACAUUUUUGAUUCGAGCGUCACUGAUGAGUCUUUUGUAGACGAAACGCGCGUCUGCCGUAAAUAUUAAAUUUUAUUCCUGAUAUUUAUGAUGAGUUUAUAUACAUACAUGCAGCGGAUACAGAAAAGUGAAACAUUCUUUAAAAAGUUCUACAACCAUCAAAAUCAAAGAAAUAAAAAUAAUGCACUUUAAUUCCAAGUUAUUUUCAAAUGGAG